CGCCAACUGAGCCGAGGUUCGAACCAGCGACCUUCUUGCUGAAAUUAGUUUUGUUAAACCUAGAAUGUGAUGUUAGACCUAGAAAAGUAUCAUGUUACAAAAUCUUGAGGGGAAAAAAAUCUUCGUUUAACAGUACUUAUAAAUAUUUGACAAAUAAUAAAAAUGAUUUUGUCUUCAGCUG